CCUACGGGGGGCAGCAGUAGAGAAUCUUCCACAAUGGACGAAAGCCUGAUGGAGCAACGCCGCGUGGGUGAAGAAGGUCUUCGGAUCGUAAAACCCUGUUGUUAGAGAAGAAAGUGCGUGAGAGUAACUGUUCACGUUUCGACGGUAUCUAACCAGAAAGCCACGGCUAACUACGUGCCAGCAGCCGCGGUAAUACGUAGGUGGCAAGCGUUGUCCGGAUUUACUGGGUGUAAAGGGUGCGCAGGCGGCUCUGCAAGUCAGGCGUGAAAGCUAGGGGCUCAACCCCUAAAUUGCGC
rnacentral:rRNA from 1 species